rnacentral:rRNA from 1 species
GGAGUACGGCCGCAAGGUUAAAACUCAAAAGAAUUGACGGGGGGCCGCACCAGCGGUGGAGCAUGUGGUUUAAUUCGAUGCAACGCGAAGAACCUUACCUACUUUUGACAUCCAGAGAACUUUCCAGAGAUGGUUUGGUGCCUUCGGGAACUUUGAGACAGGUGCUGCAUGGCUGUCGUCAGCUCGUGUUGUGAAAUGUUGGGUUAAGUUCCGCAACGAGCGCAACCCUUUUCCUUUGUUGCCCGCGGUUAGGCCGGGAACUCUAAAGGAGACUGCCAGUGAUAAACUGGAGGAAGGUGGGGAUGACGUCAAGUCAUCAUGGCCCUUACGAGUAGGGCUACACACGUGCUACAAUGGCGCAUACAAAGAGAAGCGACCUCGCGAGAGCAAGCGGACCUCAUAAAAUGCGUCGUAGUCCGGAUUGGAGUUUGCAACUCGACUCCAUGAAGUCGGAAUCGCUAGUAAUCGUAGAUCAGAAUGCUACGGUGAAUACGUUCCCGGGCCUUGUACACACCGCCCGUCACA